GACGAACGCUGGCGGCGUGGAUUAGGCAUGCAAGGUCGGACGGUAGAGCUUUAUCGUAAGAUAGAGUUUGAGAGUGGCGAACGGGUGAGUAACACGUAGGAAUCUACCCUUAAGACGGGGACAACCCAGGGAAACUUGGGCUAAUACCGGAUGAGAGUGCGAGAGAUUGCAUUUAAAAGGAUGGCGAAAGUUGUCGCUUAGGGAUGAGCCUGCGGUCUAUUAGUUAGUUGGUGAGGUAAGAGCUCACCAAGGCGAUGAUAGAUAGGCGGCCUUAACGGGUGGUCGCCCACACUGGGAUUGAGAUACGGCCCAGACUCCUACGGGAGGCAGCAGUCGAGAAUAGUCUACAAUGGUCGGAAGACUGAUAGUGCGACGCCGCGUGAACGAUGAAUCCCUUCGGGGUGUAAAGUUCUUUUAUAUGUGAGCAGUGCUUCUUAUAUUAACAGUAUGGGGAGAGAGAUAUUAGCAUAUGAAUAAGCAACGGCUAACUCCGUG
rnacentral:rRNA from 1 species